ensembl:lncRNA
CCGCCUUCCCCUGACAGGCGGGGCGAGCGCGGGGGCGGGGACAGGAGGCGGGGCCAACGGGGCGGGUCUAACGGCCGUAACGGUUAGCCGGCGGGGGGAUGGGCGGUGGUGGGCGCUGAGGGGCCGGACGCCUGGGCCCCUCGCUGCCCUGGGGGGGGCUGGCAGCGGGAGCCGGUGCUGUGGGGGUUUGCGUGGCCCAGGAGCGGUGCAGAUAGAGCGGGAAGGCCCCGGAUUACAUCUUCCGUCCCCUGUGCCGUCGAGAUGUUCCCCCCAGCGCGGGAGCCCCUCGUCCUCUCGCGUCAGCCAUAACCCCGUGGGGUCGUGCAUGGGCUGGGGAGGUUGGGCCGGCCGCAGCUCGUGCCCCUUCUGCAGGAGGGAAGAACGAUGCCGACUGCUGAGACGGGAAGCGCAGUGCCUGACGCUAGGCGGCACCAGAACUGGGAACAGGUCUCGGCACCCUGCUUCAUGGCCCACCAGGCCUGGAUUGGGGUGCCCAGGCCAGUGCACCCGGCCGUCCCCAGGGGCCCUUGUUGCACAUAACAUCUUUAAUUGCUCCUCGUUGUCUGCUGAGGACCUGGCAAGAAGGAGCAAUCUUUGCAUCACACCUGGAAGCAAACCCCAAGGCCCCGGGAGGGGGAUGCGGCAGCUCUGUGGCCUCCCCUUCACCUAGCCUGGGUGAGGACUGUGAGCCAGGAGAGCCCACAGAUGCUGACAGGGACGUGUCCCCCCAGGAGGUGGUUCAUAAGGAGCCGUUGCUGGCGUUUGAGUCCCCCUUCCCAGGUCCGGUCACGGCUGUGUCUUGCGGAGGAGAUCCCCAUGCAGGGCCCACGUGGUUUGGGCAUCUCUCUGUGAACUCACCAUCAGGAUAGAGAUGCACAUGGAAGGGGUUUUUCUCUGGCCAGGAUGCCCUGAGCUUAUUGAUCCCGCAACCCCUGUCAGCAUCCUGCUGGGAGCAGCUGUCUGGCUGGCAAGAGGCCCUGUCUGGAGUUGGGGAUGGCAGAGCACUUCCACGGAAAGGCGGGGAAGGCUGUGUGCUGCCCGCAGAGGGGUCCUUCCAGAGAAGCGCUGUCCGGGAAUCCAGGUCCAUCCUGCAGGUUUUGGGAGGCCAGUAAAUCCCUUCCCUGUUCCUGGGGGGGCCCAAGAGGCGUUGCUGCCCUGAAGGAGGAACGCGUGGUCGAAAGGUCCGUUCCCUCCGUGCAGGUUGGGCCUGUCCCCACGGAUGCGGUAGAGGUUUGCCGCCGAUUUCGGUGCAAAGUCCGUCUUCUUCCUAGCUUCUCCCUGCGUGACAGAGGCGGCCUGCUCCGGCCAGCACCCUGCGGGUUGCUGUUCCCCGCAUGUGCCUCAGCCCCUGGGGCCCCGUUCCCGAGCCUCCGCCGCCUUUGCUGCAGCAGCUCCGUGGCCAUGGAAACCGCCGCGGCGGAGCGGGGGGAUGCGAGGAAGGAGGGAGCAGACAGACCGGGCACGGACGUGCCUGACAAAGGAGGGCCGGUGCCCCCGGCGCCCAGCGUCUCCUCCUGGCAUGACUGCGGCUGCUCCGGCUGCCUCCGGGUCGCUGCCGUCCCCGAGCGCCCGCGAGCCGAGUCCCCUCCAGGCCACCCCGGAGCAGGCACCAGGGGUUCCGGGCACGGCAGUCUGUCUCGGUGCCGAGCCCCGCGCAGCGUUUCCAAGCCCUCGGCGGGGAAGGGGACACAUGUCCUGAGAGCAUCCGGGGCCCCCAGCGACUCGGCAUCAUUCCCCCCCCUCCUCCCCGUGCCCGGCGGCUGGCAGAGAGGCGAGGGGCCGGCCGGCUCCUGGAGCCGGAGAGACGCGCUGGGAUCCGUGCCGGCCAGGCUGGCGUGCCUCGGGGUCCCCGGCGUGGCGCGGCCGAGCGUGGCCAUGACAGGUAGGGGCUGGCGGCGGGGAGGGUUUAACUCUUCUC